CCAGGAGACCGGUGGAGGGCUCAGAAGCACAAUGGAGUCUCCACACGAAUCACCUUUGAACUCAUAUCUCAGAUUCAUGGACCACUGAAUGUCCUUUUUGGUUCCUGUUAGCAGGUCCAUUGAGAGACCUGAAACCAGCUGUGUGUCCAGGACAAGCGAUAGCUGCUGGAGGAGAACAUCAUGACUUUUUGUGAAAAACGAGCUGAAGAGGGUCAAGAGGGUUGUGAGUCCGGAUUACCCAGAAUUCUUAAAAAGUCAGAGGGAGGACAAGGAGGUGCUCAUGGUGAGGACGAAGACCAGAGGAGGAGCAGCAGGGAAGCUUUCGUGAAGAUCACGCUGGACUUCCUGAGGAGAAUGAAGCAGGAGGAGCUGCCUGACUGUUUGCAGACCAGAAGUCAUCCUGAAAGUUGUCAGCGUGAACUCAAAUCCAACCUGCAGAAGAAGUUCCAGUGUGUGU